rnacentral:rRNA from 1 species
CCUACGGGAGGCAGCAGUGAGGAAUAUUGGUCAAUGGCCGAGAGUCUGAACCAGCCAAGUCGCGUGAAGGAUGACUGCCCUAUGUGUUGUAAACCUCUUUUAUCUGGGAGUAAAAAGUUCCACGUGUGGGAUUUUGUAUGUACCAUAUGAAUAAGCAUCGGCUAACUCCGUGCCAGCAGCCGCGGUAAUACGGAGGAUCCGAGCGUUAUCCGGAUUUAUUGGGUUUAAAGGGUGCGGAGGUGGAAUGUUAAGUCAGUUGUGAAAGUUUGCGGCUCAACCGUAACAUUGCAGUUGAAACUGGCAGUCUUGAGUGCGAGAGAAGUGCGCGGAAUGCGUGGUGUAGCGGUGAAAUGCAUAGAUAUCACGAAGAACUCCGAUUGCGAAGGCAGUUCACCGGAGCCCAACUGACGCUGAGGCACGAAAGCGUGGGUAUCGAACAGGAUUAGAUACCCGAGUAGUC